AGAGAGCGCAGAGAGCAACAUCAUUGUCUCAGCAUCUCCACUCACCCACCCCCUGUUCUCACCAAGGCAGAUACGCCCCAGUGCUUGACCUUCCUCACACCUCUGGGCUUUAAGGUCUGUCUCUAGCCCAUUAGGCCCCUUUGGUGACAUGAGAUUUUUCUGGAUCGUUUGGAAACAUUCUGCUGACCAUGAAGCGCUCCAAGUUAAGUGCGAAUGUAACGUGACGACAUUAAUGAGGUCUCUAAGCAAGUGGCACACCCACAGUUCUUGAGACACAGUUCCAAGAAGGUCUGCAGGGAAGCCCGGGAAGAAAUCACUCACCUGAAUUUAGUCAGUUAACGACUGUGAAGCAGGUCCUUCGAUUGUCCAGUCCAGGCUCAUUGCCUUUGGAUUCACAAGCAAGCAAAAGGAACAGAGUUCGGCCUUAGUUCCUCCUUGAGUGGUUAGUGUGCUCACCUGCUCACCUGUGAGGUAAGUAGGUCACGGGAAGAAAAGAAGACAGAGACCUCAAAGGAAGGCCUUGUCCCGCUGGGGGCUACAUUCUGGGCCCAACUAUUGAAAGACUUUAUCAGUCUUGGCACCUCAAAAGACAGUCAUUAACUGUCUUACUCACGUGUCCUCUGGGGAGAAGAAUCAAAAUCCCACAGUCUAAAAAUGCCUUAUGGCCCCUGCGUUCUUUCUCUCUAACAACCCAGGAUUAAGUGAAAUCACCACCUUUCGCUAACCUAGGAGAGAGGACAAGAGCAUUCCAGGGGAAAGGUUGACAAGCAGAUUUCACUCAAAUACUCCCCUGUCAAGGGCACAAGUAUCUUUUGACGUAGGCUGGUGGCUCUUCACACUGGGUACAGCCCUACCCCACCAAGGAGAGAAGAGCUGAAAGACUAGCAAGGAAUCAUCCCGAGUCUCCACACUCUCAAAUGUAUCUUGAAGGUAAGGCUGCUUAUACUUGGAAAUGUUCAAAGAAACUUAAAAACUCUUUUCAGACAAGAGAAAAAGACAUCUUAGCCUCUUCCAUGCAAAGGUCAGCCCCAUUUGUAAGGGCAGCCUCACGGUACACUGUUGGGCCCCACUUGCUUCUUUCUCUCUCAGGUACCCUUGAUGCCCACUUGGUGACAGCAGGUGAUGGCAGUCUUACACAAUCAACCCCACCAUAGGGUUUCCUCUUGUAAUGGUCUCUGUAUAUAGCCACCAGGAUGCUUUUCUCCCCACCCCCAGCCCAUGGAGUCCCGUUCCUAAACUUAGAAGUUCAGCUGAUGCAGCCAGCGGUGCUGCAAGACCUGAUGUCCUUGCUGCUCUGACAGGCGCCCAGGUGGAGCACGUGCCAUUCUUAUACAGCUGUGCAUGGACACAGGGUGAUGGGGACAGUGUGUCCUCAGUCCUCUGAGAGUCACACACCCAUUAAGGCCCUGUUAUUCUUGGCGCUAAAUUUGGGAGCAGGUAUAACAAUCUCUUAUUGUUUAUAUGGCUUGAUAUCUGGCUAAUACCCUGUCUUCCAGAUUCCCUUGGAAGGACGAUCCAGAUCUGCAAGUCCAAUCCUUUGUGCAUUUCCUUCCUCUUUAGAUCACACCUGCUGAGACUGUAAAAAAAAUUGUGUGUGUGUGAACGUGAGGGUGCCCACAGAGCUCAGAAGGGAGCAUUGUGUCUCCUGGAGCUGGAGUCGCAGGUGGUUAAGAACCAUCUGAUGUGAGUGCCAAGAGCCUAGCUUCUUUCCUUUGGAAGCGCAGCAAGCACUCUUAAUUGCCAAGCCAUCUCUCCAGCUCCCUGGCUGAGACUUUUGAACCCUUCACAGGCAGGUCCUACACCCCUGUCUACCAGUGAAGAAGCUAAGAAAAUAGAUCUUUCUCAGCAAGCUUUAAGAUUAAAAGCUCAUCAUUUCAUAAGGGGAAACUGAGGCUGGAUAGAUGAGGUUAUUUAAGGAGAAAUAGGAAAGGAACACCUCACUGUGAAGUCUGGUUGAGACUUUGCCAGUGAAGAGGCAAGGAUUCCAGCGCCAUUAGAAUUUGCUAUGAAGACUGCCUACAUAGAGGCAAUAUUUCCUGUGUAUGGGGAUAUUUCAUAUAAAAAUGUGUCUUAUAUCCCCUGUGAUUCACGGCUUUACCUUAUCAGCUGUAAUCCUACCAAUGUACCCCAGAAACUGACCCAUGGGCUCAUUUAGUGGAAAAGGGGUUCCUUAGCAAUGCUUCCAUGUGUGACCUCAGAAGCUAUCACAGUCAGGCAUCUCACUACUCUAAGCCGUGCAAGCCUGACUCACUGGAGAAGUGCCUAUCCACGUGUGUGUGUGUGUGU